AAAGAAGUAGCUCAGCGGGUAGAGCGUAUGGCUGAUAACCAUAUUGUCGGGGGUUCGAUUCCUCCCUUC
rnacentral:tRNA from 1 species